rnacentral:rRNA from 1 species
AUUGGAACUGAGACACGGUCCAAACUCCUACGGGAGGCAGCAGUGAGGAAUAUUGGUCAAUGGACGAAAGUCUGAACCAGCCAAGUAGCGUGCAGGAUGACGGCCCUAUGGGUUGUAAACUGCUUUUAUAUAGGGAUAAAGUCGGGGACGUGUCCCCGUUUGUAGGUACUAUAUGAAUAAGGACCGGCUAAUUCCGUGCCAGCAGCCGCGGUAAUACGGAAGGUCCAGGCGUUAUCCGGAUUUAUUGGGUUUAAAGGGAGCGCAGGCUGAUGAUUAAGCGUGACGUGAAAUGUAGCCGCUCAACGGCUGAACUGCGUCGCGAACUGGUUAUCUUGAGUGAGUUCGAUGUUGGCGGAAUUCGUGGUGUAGCGGUGAAAUGCUUAGAUAUCACGAAGAACUCCGAUUGCGAAGGCAGCCAACAAGGCCUUUACUGACGCUAAAGCUCGAAGGUGCGGGUAUCGAACAGGAUUAGAUACCCUGGUAGUCCGCACGGUAAACGAUGGAUGCCCGCUGUUUGCGAUAUACUGUGAGCGGCCAAGAGAAAUCGUUAAGCAUCCCACCUGGGGAGUACGCCGGCAACGGUGAAACUCAAAGGAAUUGACGG